rnacentral:rRNA from 1 species
UACAGAGGGCUCAAGCGUUGUUCGGAUUCAUUGGGCGUAAAGGGUGUGUAGGUGGCGCCGUAAGUCGGGUGUGAAAUUUCGGAGCUUAACUCCGAAACUGCAUUCGAUACUGCGGUGCUUGAGGACUGGAGAGGAGACUGGAAUUUACGGUGUAGCGGUGAAAUGCGUAGAUAUCGUAAGGAAGACCAGUGGCGAAGGCGGGUCUCUGGACAGUUCCUGACGCUGAGGCACGAAGGCCUGGGGAGCAAACGGG